rnacentral:lncRNA from 1 species
GUGAUAACCGUGAUUACGAAAACCAUCUCUGAUUCGCAUCUCUCUCAACACCCAUCCAAACAUAGUGCAGAGCCACCCUAUGAUUUCAUUCUCGGAACAAAGUGCAGAGCCACCCUCCGAUUAAGAUCACUCAUCUCCACCACCACAAUCGCAUUCAAAGUCCAAACAUCAUCCCCUUAUAAGUUCCUGGUCAACCCACCCAGUGGACUCAUCUCCCCUUUGUCUCAAACCACCUUCCGAAUCAGGGGCGGAUCUACAUGUAUCCCAAGGGGUGCACGGGCUACCGCUCAACUUUCUCGGCGAUAAGGGCGACCCUCCGGCAAGUCAAACUUCUUCUUAUAUAGUACAUGCAUUGUUAAAAAAUAGCCGACAACCAAAGUUGAAUGCUGCACGACGUGGAGAUAUCGUUCGUCUUGAAUCUUUGCUAGAGAGAGAUGCAACCAAACAACCUUUCCAUCCGAAGACCACCAUCCGACUUUGUUCCAGCCUUUGCUGUUCGUAAGUCUGAAAGGUCCAUAGACUGAAUUUAUUAAUUUGCCAUUGAGAGACAUGCUUUAGGCUAUAGGGUGUGGUCAUGACCCUCAUGGUCACCAUGAUCUUCCACAUCGGCGCCAUGUCUUUCACUUCUAAUCCAUCAUUCAAAACCACUACCCUAAGGGUGUGGUCAUGACCCAAACCACUAUCUUCCUAUUUUAAUUUAUUUUUGUAGAAAAGGAAAAUGAAUCAUUGAAAAAGGAAAGUAGGCUCAUGGUUGCUAUGGUUUAAUCCAUGCCAACCAUGGUGGAUGAAGGAAGGGGAUGGUGUAACAAUCUAUUAAUGAUCCUAUGUGGCAUUAAUGACCCAACUCAUGCUCCCCAUACCCAUUAGCCUUAUUUGUAUCCUAAUCUAUGUGUGUGAGGCAGUUUUUGCAAGUUUGUAUUCGCAUCUGAUGACAAAACGUGAAUUUUAGAUCUCAUACGGAAUCAGUUGAACAAUGUAUCAACGUUGAUCCCUAGAAGUAACAAAGAGUUGGAUUGGAAGAAGACAAGUAGAGAAAUAUGCUAUGACCGGAAAAUUGAUGAAAGUUUGUUUAUACACUCAAAUGAAAGGGAGACUAGAAUUGUUGUCAGAUAAUCCGUCACAAAUGUUCAUUAAUGUUGAAAUUAGGUGUAUGGUUUUUGUAUAGUUUGGAUUUUAUUGUGUUAUUUGAAUAAGUUGGUAUUUUAAUUUGAUUCGUUUGUAUAUUAAGUCAUUUUGGAUUUUUAUAUUUAUUAAAGAAUU